GGGCUCCACUCCUGUUCCUGCUGAACUGAGCCAGUGUGUGAAACGAGAACUGAUAUCAGCUCAGUAGGCACCGGAGGGCGGGUCC
ensembl:miRNA